AUUGAACGCUGGCGGCAGGCCUAACACAUGCAAGUCGAGCGGAGCGGCGGGCGGGUGAGUAAUGCCUAGGAAUGUGCCUGUCAGUGGGGGAUAACGUCCGGAAACGGGCGCUAAUACAGCAUGCUAGCAGAUGAGCCUGGGUCGGAGUAGCUAGUUGGUGGGGUAAGGGACUACCAAGGCGACGAUCGGUAACUGGUCUGAGAGGAUGAUCAGCCACACUGUGACUGAGACACGGCCCAGACUCCUACGGGAGGCAGCAGUGGGGAAUAUUGGACAAUGGGCGAAAGCCUGAUCCAGCCAUGCCGCGUGUGUGAAGAAGGUCUUCGGAUUGUAAAGCGCUUUAGGUUGGGAGGCGUUACCAACAGAAUAAGCACCGGCUAACUUCGUGCCAGCCGCCGCGGUAAUAC
rnacentral:rRNA from 1 species